rnacentral:rRNA from 1 species
AGUGAACGCUGGCGGCAGGCCUAACACAUGCAAGUCGAACGCGUGGCGGACGGGUGAGUAAUGUCUGGGAAACCGCCUGAUGGAAGGGGAAAACUACUGGAAACGGUAGCUAAUACCGCAUACCAUCGGAUGUGCCCCGAUGGGAUUAGCUAGUAGGUGGGGUAAAGGCUCACCUAGGCGACGAUCCCUAGGUGGUCUGAGAGGGUGACCAGCCACACUGGAACUGAGACACGGUCCAUACUCCUACGGGAGGCAGCAGUGGGGAAUAUUGCACAAUGGGCGCAAGCCUGAUGCAGCCGUGCCGCGUGUAUGAAGAAGGCCUUCGGGUUGUAAAGUACUUUCAGCGGGGAGGCGUUACCCGCAGAAGAAGCACCGGCUAACUCCGUGCCAGCAGCCGCGGUAAUAC